AUCCUCAGCGACAAAUUUGAAGAACCGUUCGCCACGAAAACACGGAGAGAUCACGAUAUGAAGUUGAGCCGAGCCGAGCUGAGCUGAACACGAAACUGUGCUGCCGAUCUCUCGUGUUCCGUUCUCCUCCACCUCCUCUCACUCUCCACCUCCACCACCGUAGUCUCCUUCAGCUCCUCCUUCUACUCGGUACGUUCGGUUCCGCGCCCGUUCCCGUUCCGUUCUCUCUCUCUCUCCGUUCACAAGUUUCCUCAGGUAUUCUCGCGUGAACAGAGAAAGAGAAAGAACGAUCGCUGCCCGAACAGGAUGGAGAGAGGGGAGGAAUCAACGAUAAGACCAGAAUGACUUCACGAGGUGCUCAGUCAGUGGUCUUCGUGAAUAAACGUCAACGACGAUGGUGUACAACAGCAGUGCGACUGAAUUCCGCUCGAUUUCAGGCCACUAUUUAUUCUACAUCGUGUGUCUCGUGUUCCCCACCUACAUGUUGUUCGUCAGCGCUUCGUGGCUGUUAUCUGCUCCGGGUAUUGUUCGGUGAUUCCUCGUUUCCGUUUUCCCUUUUCUUUCUUCUUCAUUUCCCCCUUCCUUUUUUUUUUUUUUUCUCUUCUUCAUUCUCCGCUUCGUGUGAAAGAACAUCACGCGUUAGCGAUCAAUCUUGCUGACAAUCGGAGUGCAUUGAGCCCCGUAUGGGAAACACUCUGGCGAAAUUGGUACACUUACCCGACCAAGGACCAUGCGAGAGUUGAAGGCCUUCGGUGGAGGAUCGACGAUGUUCCAUCGCGUCGUUCGGAUCCGUGGUUCACCUGACGACCGCCCGUAUUUUUUUCGGAUCUGCCAGACGUAUUCCAAGAAUCAUCCGCUGCAACUGUGCACGCCGAUUAGAAUACGAAUUUUUAUGCAAAUCUGUUCUCUUGGAGAUGUUCGUUUCACAUUAAAUUCAAUUGUGUAUUCAAUGCAAUUUCACUAUUAUUCCCAAUUAGUAAACAAUUUAAUAAAUUUCCAUCUUCCUACAAAUGCAUAAAAAUUCGUACUCUAUCAACUACUAAUGGCAUAGUACUCGAUACAGAGUGUCCAGUCAAUCAAGAUCCGACUUUUCAUGAAAAAAUGAGUGGAAAAUGUAGUAAAAUAAAGUAUGUGAAAUAAAGUUUUUGCGCACGAG